rfam:Brachypodium distachyon strain Bd21 chromosome 5, whole genome shotgun sequence.
GUACUACCAUGAGUUCCCUGCAAGCACUUCAUGAGGCCCAAUUCUGAGGGCUACUGUGAAGUGUUUGGGGGAACUCUUGGUGUUAC